rfam:Schistosoma rodhaini strain Burundi genome assembly, scaffold: SROB_scaffold0001304
AUUCAGCUGACGAGUCUUAAAUGGAACAAAAUGUGCGUCCUGGAU